UCCCUCUCAGGGUCGCACCUGGAGAGUUUCCAGUACUCUACCAGUCUCAGCUGAGGGAGGGAGAGUCAAACAGAGGCCUACCCAUUCCAUUCCUAGCUUGGCCAGUGGCUAAUGAGUGGAAGGCAAUCUACUACACGU
rnacentral:snoRNA from 1 species